GAUGAACGCUGGCGGCGUGCCUAAUACAUGCAAGUCGAGCGAACAGACGAGGAGCUUGCUCCUCUGACGUUAGCGGCGGACGGGUGAGUAACACGUGGAUAACCUACCUAUAAGACUGGGAUAACUUCGGGAAACCGGAGCUAAUACCGGAUAAUAUAUUGAACCGCAUGGUUCAAUAGUGAAAGACGGUUUUGCUGUCACUUAUAGAUGGAUCCGCGCCGCAUUAGCUAGUUGGUAAGGUAACGGCUUACCGAGGCAACGAUGCGUAGCCGACCUGAGAGGGGGAGCGGCCACACGGGAACGGAAACCCGGCCCAGACUCCAAGGGGGGGCGCCAGAAGGGAUUCUUCCGCAAUGGGCAAAGGCCUGACGGGGCAACGCGGGGGGAGAAAUGAAGGUCUUCGUAUCGAAAAACUUUUUUAUGGGGAAAAAAAAAAUUGGAAAGUAACUAUGCACGUCUGGACGUUACCUAAUCAAAAAGCCAGGGCAAACUACGUG
rnacentral:rRNA from 1 species